CAUGCCGAUUCAGGCGCCCUCAUGGACAGACUUUCUGAACUGUCCCAUCUGCUGCAAUGAGUUUGCAGCCAGUCAGCGUGUACCAAUCAGUCUGGGAUGUGGUCACACGAUAUGCAAGCUAUGCCUGACCACCCUCUACAAUCGCCAGUGUCCCUUCGAUCAGACGCUGAUUGUCACGGAAAUCGACAACUUGCCCAUUAAUUAUGCGCUGCUGCAGCUGGUGGGCAAUGGAAGUGGAGGUGGAGGUGGAGGAGGAGGAGGAGGAGGAGGAGGAGGAGGAGGAGGUACCGUUGUGGCAGGUACAGGCAAAGGUGUGUCCACAAAGGAUUCAGAUUUGGCAGAUAUUGCACCAAGUGUUUUAAAGCUACAACCCGAACAUCUCAAGUGCUAUAAGCUUGGCAAGAAAUGCAUCGAAGAUCUGGCGUUGCAUCUGAAAUCAUUUCUCAACUUGAACAGCAGCAAUAUGCUGACCAGACCCAUGCAACGCAAGCUGGUCACCUUGGUCAACUGCCAGCUGAUGGAGGAGGAGGGCCGAGUGCGGGCACUGCGAGCAGCCCGCUCCUUGGGCGAACGUACCGUCACUGAACUGAUAUUACAACAUCAGAAUCCGCAGCAGCUAAGCUCCAAUCUGUGGGCAGCGGUGCGUACACGUGGCUGCCAGUUCCUAGGCCCCGCCAUGCAGGAGGAGGUGCUGAAGCUUGUGCUGCUGGCCCUGGAGGAGGGCUCUGCAUUGUCGCGCAAGGUACUGGUCAUGUUUGUGGUGCAACGACUGGAGCCGCACUUUCCACAAGCUUCCAAGACGAGCAUUGGCCAUGUGGUGCAGUUGCUCUAUCGCGCCAGUUGCUUCAAGGUGUCCAAACGUGAAGCGGACUCCUCACUGAUGCAGCUGAAGGAGGAAUUUCGCACCUAUGAUGCAUUGCGGCGGGAACACGAUGCACAAAUCGUGCAGAUUGCCACUGAGGCGGGCUUACGGAUUGCCCCAGAGCAGUGGUCGUCCCUGCUCUAUGGAGACAUUGCACACAAGUCGCACAUGCAGAGCAUCAUUGACAAGUUGCAGACGCCUUCAUCGUUUGCCCAGUCAGUGCAGGAAUUGGUCAUUGCGUUGCAGCGCACAAGUGAUCCUGCGAAGCUAUCGCAGCUGCACAAUCAUCUGCAGUAUUUGGCCAGCAUUGAUCCGUGCGUUGAGGCAGCUCCCUGGGAGGAUGUAUCCAAGGCGCUGGACGCCGUGCGGCAUGCGGUCAUGGGUCUGGUUCACUUCCUGCAACACCAUGGCGUGCGGAAGCCACAGGACAGCAGUCUCGCCAGUGGAGCAACCAACACCAACAACACCAAGUAUAAGAUAAGUCUGUGCCGUGAUCUGAACGUGCGUCGCGUGUGUCCACGUGGCGCCAGUUGCACAUUUGCCCACUCACAGGAGGAGGUGGAACGCUAUCGUGCCCGCAACCGGGGGAAACACAUCAAAUCCCCAAUGCCCAUGGCAAUGCCAAGUAUUCCAGCUAAUGGCAAGAAGCCGCUGCCCAUGGCCAAUGAGGUGCCAUCACACGCUGGCGGCCCCAUGAUGCCCAUAUCGCCCAUACGCUAUAUGCAAGCACCAGCACCACCGCAUCGGGGCUACCUGGAGCCGCUGCCUCCAACCGCACACAGUCUUUCACCCAGCGGAGUACAUUCUCAGAUGAUGCAUCCACAUCAUAGUCCCAUUGCCCGGCAGCAGCAACAACAACAGCAGCAUACGGGACUCAACGGGCUGCUGGUGGCACCACCACCACCACCAGGACGCUAUGAGCCACGCUUUAACUUUGGCCCGACGCCGGCACAGCCGAGAAAUCCAGCACGAGGAGAGUAUCCAGGUAACUCCAGUGCAGCACCACAGCGUAACCCACCGAACUUCAACAACAGCAAUAGUAAUCUACACAAUCAUGGCAAGAGCUUCUGCAGCAUGCUUCCAGCGGAUGUCUAUCAUUCGCCAUUCUUUGGUAACACAAACACAAACAACAACAACAGCAAUGAGGCAGCCGUCAAUAGCAAAGUUAAUGCCGAGCUGCCAACGAAACUGGGACAUCCAGUUGUCACUGGUGUCGCUAAUCCUGGCAAUAAUCCCUGGGAGCAUUCGUAUAUGCAACAGCAGUUGGCAACGCUAACGCCGUCCAGCAAGAAUCCCAGUCGAUCGACCAUGUCGACCAUUUUACCCGCAACAGCUGAUACCUCAUUUUAUGAUAAGAAACCGCCGAGUAAUGUUAAUAUUGAUCUGGAGCUGGUCAAGCCCUUGACCGAUAAUGCCGCCAAUUCAGAUGCCAUUUUUAGGUCCAACAAUAACAACAACAACAACAGUGGCCACAACACUAGCAACAACAGCAGCAACAACAACAACAACAAUAGUUCAUUGCUACUCUGGGGUAAUCCCAAUAAAGAUUCGGCCAAUUUUGUGCGUUCCGACUCGAUAUUGGAUGACGAUGCUUCGACCUAUGAUGUGCCCACCGGCUCCUCGAUGCAUAGUCGCUAUGGUCCCAUUUGUCCCAAGCGCACCACGAGCAAUUGGAACAAUUGGUUAAUGGAGAACGAUCCAAAGAGCGACAAGAGCACCACGUCCGGAGAGCUAGGCUAUGUGGCAACCUUCAAUGACAGGCUGAAACCCGAGCACAAUGACAAUGUCAAUCCAAAUGCCAAUAAGAACUCUGCCGGACGUGAAAGUGUGUUUAUCUGGAACAGCGAUUUGAAUGCGAAUGCGACAAGUCCGUCGGGCAAUUAUUGGAGCAACAGCAGCGAUCCGGCAGGAAGUGGAACCACAACGCUAUCGUCCCACAGUGAAAGACUGAAGCAUCAUCAGUUGCUGGAUAGGAAGCCGCAGUUGUUGUCGGAGGAUAGUUUUGAGGGUGGCAUCGAUAGCGGUAUGAUGAUAGAGUUGGAAAAGAAUCUGGUUGAUAUUGUUGAAGUCUGGUCGAAUCCAGAUGAUAGCGGCAUUAAAUUGGAUUGAGGCAGUUGGUGAAACCAGGUUGAGAGUGGAAACAUAAUGCAAUCAUUUUACAGAUGUCCUUUUGAGGGACACUUUAGAGGGAAUCACAAAGUCCCCGAUUCUCCGAAUUAUUUUUUUUGCUAGUAUGAAGCAGUCAAUGUUAACUGAUUAAAGACAACUCGAGAGUAAAGAUAUGUGUGUCUGAAAAUUGUACUAGAAUUGAAAUGCCAAAAUGCUACUACCAUCUGUAAUUGUAAGACCCCAACUACAUAAUGCUGAUAAUGUAUGUAGUCUCUCAGUGGGUCGAUUCGUGAUUUUUACUAUAUAAAUAUAUAUAUAUAUGGGCAUAUAUAAGCAGAAAUGCUGAUCCGAUUGAAAGCUAAAAACAAUAUUUUGUGUGUGUUUAAAUAUUAUAUAUACUAUAUCUUUUUUUUGUAUAAUUUUUAAAUUAUUAACUAUUUCAAAAUCGAAACGCUAUUUUUAUAUACACUAAAGAGAAGAUAAAAAAGAUGAAAAACAAAAGAAGAUAAAAAAGAUAACAUAUAUAUGUAUAUGUACUAAGAAGUUGGGGUAAAAGUGUGGCCCGCACCUUGGGAGGGACCCACAUACGUUUGAUAAUUUAUAUAUGUAUGUGGAUGAAUGUUUAUAUUUCUUAAAGAAAUUUUAAUAACGCUAUUGUGCGAUGUUGUUAACUAUUGUACUAUAUUAUUAAAUUUAUUGAAAAUAAAUUAAAAUCAUGUCCCUUUUCGUUGUACUCGUUAACUGUGAAGCGAUGACAAGAUAAAAAAAAGGCUUCUAAACAAUUGCAUACAUACAUAACCCUACUAAAUAUAGAUACUACAAAAAUAUAUAUACAUAUAUAUAUAUAUGUAUUUGUAUAUGUAUGUAUGUAUAUACGUAUGUAAUACAUGCGUUAAAUAUUUUAAUUGAUAUAUUAAUAUUAUAUAUUAAUGUCAGAUGAUCCCCCGUUUGCUUUCGAUUCAAAUGCAAUCUAACAAAGGAUUUUGUAAUAUUUAAGCAAAAGUCAAGAACCUAUAAUACCUAACAUUAUAAAGAGAUAGAGAAAGAAAAAGAAUAUGUUGCGAUCGUUUGUGCACAUAAUUACUAAAACGGAUUGAUCAUUAAAAAUGAAUUAAAUGUGUUUGUUAUACCGAAAAAUCUUUGUAAUUGUAAAUUUAUUUCUCAGUUGUUAAUGGGAAUCCGAAACAUGCGACAGAGUUUAGUUAAUGAAAUCAAUACAUUGUAAAAAAUAUAUGUAUUUCCUAUAUUAUAUAUAAAUUCAGUAACUGAUGCAUUAAAUGUAUGUAAUACCUAUGUAUACUUAAGUAUAAAAAAAAAAACAAAAACUAAUUAACAAUUAAAAAGUGCGAAUGAGAUUUGUAAUAUGUAUUUGUAAACUGAUUUUGAGUUGAUCAAGUUACGCUCAUUUGCCACGCCCACACCCAUGCCCACACCUCAAUCAAUUAAACAAACAAACAAACAAUCAAUCAAUCAUCCAUCAAUCCUUAAUCCGCAACGUACCCUGCGUACUUAAAGACACCACUCGGUUUUGGGCAUACUGAAUGUGGUGCAGUUUUAGUCUAAACCCAAUGGGUUCAUAACUGUCGUUGUUGAGUUGAGUUUUGUAAUUUUAUAAUUAUUAAAUUGUAUAACAUGAAAAUAGGUAUGAUUGAAAAUAAUUGCAUCUUCUAGCAGAGGCUAGAAUUAAAUGAUUAAAACAAAUACUGAUCCGUUUCGUUGCCAAGAGCACAGCAUCUAAAUUUUAUCUAUCUAUAAAAGUAUACAAAUAUUUUAUUUAUAUUGUAUGUAUUACACGUAUUUUUUGUAUUAUUACUAAAUGUUAAUCUUAAGCAAUUUUCGAGUUCUGUUAACCCUAAAACAACAAUUUUAUUUAUUUUAUUUUUGCCAAUAAAUUUCAUUUCAA